UGGGGAAUAUUGGACAAUGGGCGCAAGCCUGAUCCAGCCAUGCCGCGUGCAGGAAGAAGCAUCUAUGGUGUGUAAACUGCUUUUGUAUGGGAAGAAACACUCCUACGUGUAGGAGCUUGACGGUACCGUAAGAAUAAGGAUCGGCUAACUCCGUGCCAGCAGCCGCGGUAAUACGGAGGAUCCAAGCGUUAUCCGGAAUCAUUGGGUUUAAAGGGUCCGUAGGCGGUUUAAAAGUCAGUGGUGAAAGCCCAUCGCUCAACGAUGGAACGGCCAUUGAUACUGUUAGACUUGAAUUACAAGGAAGUAACUAGAAUAUGUAGUGUAGCGGUGAAAUGCUUAGAUAUUACAUGGAAUACCAAUUGCGAAGGCAGGUUACUACUUGUGGAUUGACGCUGAUGGACGAAAGCGUGGGGAGCGAACA
rnacentral:rRNA from 1 species